rnacentral:rRNA from 1 species
GAUGAACGCUAGCGGCAGGCUUAAUACAUGCAAGUCGAGGGGCAGCAGGACUGUAGCAAUACAGUUGCUGGCGACCGGCACACGGGUGCGGAACACGUACGCAACCUACCCAAAACUGGGGGAUAGCCCGGGGAAACCCGGAUUAAUACCUCGUAACCUUUUUAAGUGGCAUCACUUGAUAAGUAUAGCUCCGGCGGUUUUGGAUGGGCGUGCGCCUGAUUAGGUAGUUGGUGCGGGUAACGGCCCACCAAGCCUGCGAUCAGUAACUGGUGUGAGAGCACGACCAGUCACACGGGCACUGAGACACGGGCCCGACUCCUACGGGAGGCAGCAGUAAGGAAUAUUGGUCAAUGGACGCAAGUCUGAACCAGCCAUGCCGCGUGAAGGAUGAAGGUCCUCUGGAUUGUAAACCUCUUUUAUGGGGGACGAAACCCGGAUAUUCUUAUCCGAUUGACGGUACCUCAGGAAUAAGCACCGGCUAACUCCGUG